UUCGUUAUUUCAUAUUGCAUUUUAGUUCAUUCUUUCAUAUUCCAUUCUUAGUACUAUGCUCGUAGUAGCCCGUGUCCCUUGACUUGCGUGGGAUUUGUGAACAUUGUCUGUUGUUGCUGUUGCUGUGGUCGCUUCUUAGUUUUGCUUCGGGAGUUUUCCUUUGAACGUGUGUGUGUCUUGUAUCUCCUUGCUGCUGCUUUGAUAUUGCCACCGGGUAUAUC
rnacentral:lncRNA from 1 species